GUGCAUUUUAGUAGCACAAAUACUAAAAUUGGAACAAUAUAGAAAUUAGCAUGGACCCUAUGCUAGGAUAACAUGCAAAUUUGUGGAGCAGUUCAUAUGCUU
rnacentral:snRNA from 1 species